rnacentral:lncRNA from 1 species
UAGCAGUAGCGCAUGAGUGAAUGAAGCAAUCAAUUUCUGAAUUACAGACAGCGUACAGAUUUUCUGAAUCCAAACAAAAUCAAGCAUAUAUUGCAGGUUGUUCUAUUGUUGAUCCAACCACAUGCUCUGUUUCUGCAUGCCAUGGAAGUUUUACUUUCAAAUCCUCUUUUUCUGCACAACAAAUUGAAAAGAAUGCAGGAGUCGGAGAAUGAACUAAAUUGCUUUGAACUUCACAGCAGCAGACUAAAUUCCUAAUGGCAAAAACUUUUUAGUACUACAGGAUAUACCUUCAGAGUUCUUGACAGUUCUAAUAAACAUAUGAUGUUGAUUGGUUAGCUGAGUUAGAAGUAGAGCUAUUCAAAUAUAUUUACUCUGGUGAGUGCACAAAAUCAUUAUACUCCUAGCUAUAUGUUUAUCCUAUAUCUACUUCUCACAUUAUACAUAUGCUCCACUACAAAGGGGUCUAAAUAAUAGCAUGAUUUUUUUCCAGUUAAAGUUCCAAGCAACUUUCCUGUGUGAAUCUGAGAAUCUCACUAAAACCUAUGUUUCAUUGUGUAUAUUCAGCCUAUCGUGUCGAGUUUCAGACUGAUCAUAACAUACAUCAGUUUAAGAUGUGAUGCUAAUUUGAUUUGUGUGCUGCCCUAUCGUCCAUAUCUUCGAUUUCAAGCAGUUCCAUGGCAAAUCAAAUACAUUUUUUCUUUGUUUAUGACAAUACAUAUUUGACAGGUUAAAGCAUGUACUAUUGUGCAUACUGAACUGUAACAAGCCUUUCCCAAUAGCAAAACUGAAAGUAUAUAUAGCUUAUGUGUACUGUACUUUCAGUAAUAUAGAUGUCAAUAUCAUUACUUUUUUUAGUUAGGUGGUGGUGGUUAUUCACUCACAGUCAGGUUCAAUGCUCAUCAUGUUAUUUCCUUUCCAAAGGUACCUCAGUGUUCUGUAUUUAUACCAUUUACAGCAACUGGUUUUUGUGCCUUGGGCUAUGAUCCUAAAAAUACAUUGAUGCAUGGUUCAUACAAAUAUAAUUUGACGCUGAGACUGGUUCAUACAAUCAAUUUCUCUAAAAAAGGAAAGAAAACAGAUCAACCAAUCUUUUGAAUUAUGCAUUGUCAAAUUGAACCAAAGUAUUCAAAGACACGAACUCACCAUGGUCAAAGCAAAAAAAAUGAUAGCACCUUGAGCAAGCCCUAGUUCCCACACCCCUUCUUAGAAGACUGGAUUGGAGCUGACUUCGGUGGGCUUGCCUUUGACCCAAGUCUCCUGACCGAAGCCAAAUCCCUGGAUCGAAGCCAUAGACGGAAAUCAAACCCAAAUCCCUGGACAAAAAGAGGCGGCAACUUAAAAUCACUCUCCGGGCCACUAAGCACCAUGGAUGUGCCUCCCACAAACCUACGGAUCGGGAGCGGUGCUUCAUACUGUGAUGCGCCACCUCAGUGCCGCCGGGCAUCGGCCAUUGCUCCCAGCGAUGCUGGAGGCUCUGCCCCGUUCCCUCCGGCCGACAAAUUGUGGAUCUGCAGGGAGGUGGAAGCUGCACGGGAGAGAAAUGUCACAUACGGGAGAAGAGAGACGGGAGAAUAAGGAGAGGAGGCGGAGGUCGGCAGGCGACUUGGGAGACGGCCAACGGGGUCGCGUGGUGUCUGAGGCGGCAGAAGAAGCUCGGGCGGGCUUGAGCUCCUCCUCUCGAAUCCUCUAUUCUCAUUAGGGAAAGGAUGUGUGGCCUCAACCAC